AAUAAGUGUAGUUUUACACUGUUCAUGUCCAACGUUUAACCGCACGUCUUAUUUAAUUUUUUUAUGAUUAGUAAUUUUAUUAUUGUUAUAUGAUAAAAUAUGACUAGUACUUUAUGUGUGACUAAUUUUUUUAAAAAAAAUAUAUUUUUUUUAAAAUAAGACGGACGGUCAAACGUUAUACAUGGAUACCCAUAGCUGCACUUGUU
rfam:Oryza sativa Japonica Group DNA, chromosome 1, cultivar: Nipponbare, complete sequence.